CGGUUGAUCCUGCCGGACCCCACUGCUAUCGGGAUAGGACUAAGACAUGCUAGUCGAGCGCCUCCCAAGCUAUUGGAGGCGCGGCGCACAGCUCAGUAACUCGUGGCUAACCUGCCCUUGGGACGAGGACACCCCCGGGAAACUGGGGCUAGUCCUCGAUAGGUGAAAAUCUCUGGAAUGAAUUUUCGCCCAAAAGACGCCUACACCAUGCUUGUAGGCGUCGCCCAAGGAUGGGGCCGCGACCGAUCAGGUUGUUGGUGAGGCAACGGCUCACCAAGCCUCUUACCGGUGCGGGCCGUGGGAGCGGGAGCCCGGAGAUGGGCACUGAGACAAGGGCCCAGGCCCUACGGGGCGCAGCAGUCGCGAAAACUUUGCAAUACACGAAAGUGUGACAGGGCUAUCCCGAGUGCCAUCCGCUGAGGAAGGCUUUUACCCAGUGUAGAAAGCUGGGGGAAUAAGGAGAGGGCAAGUCUGGUGUCAGCCGCCGCGGUAAUACCAGCUCUCCGAGUGGUGUGGAUGUUUAUUGGGCCUAAAGCAUCCGUAGCUGGCUGGGCAAGUCCCCUGUUAAAUCCACCGAUUUAAUCGUUGGUGUGCGGGGGAUACUGUUCGGCUAGGGGACGGGAGAGGCCGACGGUAUUUUCGGGGUAGGGGUGAAAUCCUAUAAUCCCGGGAAGACCACCAGUGGCGAAGGCUGUCGGCUAGAACGCGCCCGACGGUGAGGGAUGAAAGCUGGGGGAGCGAACCGGAUUAGAUACCCGGGUAGUCCCAGCUGUAAACGAUGCAGGCUAGGUGUUUGGGCGGCUACGUGCCGCUCUAGUGCCGCAGGGAAGCCGUUAAGCCUGCCGCCUGGGGAGUACGGCCGCAAGGCUGAAACUUAAAGGAAUUGGCGGGGGAGCAC
rnacentral:rRNA from 1 species